AGUGUGACACAGGUGGAUUUUUGGGCUAAUGGUCUUGUUCUUCAGGGAGUAACCACAGGCCCAUCCACAAGGACCAUUUCCAGCUGAUUUAUGGAACGCUGUUCUACCUGGUUAAUUUUCAACGUUAUCUCAGCCUGAGAGGCAGUGGCUCCCCACCUGUGAGUUGUCAGAAGGGUUCACGCAGUUUUCCAGGGCGGCCUUUGCAUUUACUGGAACUAUGAAGAGCUCAUUCCUGCUUCGGAGGCGAUUGACACACAGUGCGCGUGAGGCCGUGCGUGGCUUAUCGUCUUCUGCAGGCUUAGAGGUCACUUUCUGUUCUUCCCCAAGCCUGCUGCACUGUGCCGAGUGUUCACUGUGGGCUACGGUCACGCUGUCUGGCACAGGCCACCGAGGCCACAGGGCAGGUUCCACGUAGCGGAGCCUACAGAAUGGCAGAGCCCGGCCUCCUCGCCGCCCUUCACGGGGAGCAGAAAGCGCAAGCCUGUGAUCAGAGCUGUGCUAGCCCAGAAAGCCUCUGAACAGGUUGAAUUGAGGAAUCUGCUCCUACCAACUGCCCAUGUUUAGGAUGUGUUUGAGUUUUUGUGAUUUUUCUUGCACUGAAGCUACUGGACUGGCUCUGAGUCACCGUCAUGGGUCUUCAUGUUGCCCCGACGGGAAACGGCGGCGGUGGAGGGCUGCACAGAGGCUUGUGGCCCUGAUAAUGAAGGGCUUGUUGCCUCUUGGGACAGCGAGUUCAAACUCUUUGUAAUUGUCAGCACAAAGAGUGACCCGCUGAGGACACGGCUGUAAUACAGGGUGGCAUGGUUGAUUGUCAUAGCUGAUAUCAGGUACCUGCCUCUAAAAUGACGGUACCCGUAGUGUGGCUCCAGGAGGGCAGCUCCUGCCAAACACACGUGCUCCUGGGCCCCUGCAGACAAGGUUGUGUUGCCAGCCAGGCCUGCAGCUGUGAGUGUAGAGGAUUCUACAGGGUACCGACUGCCUCCCUCGUUUGCUUGUGGGGCCCAGGCCUCCGUCCCUCCCGGUCCCCAGUCCGGCUUCUCCCAGGAUUCUCCCAGCCCUGUGGACACCUCCGUCUUCACAGCUUCCGUAGUUUUCUUGUGGGUGCCCCAGGUGGGCGCCUGGGCAGGGUUCGUGUGUUAGUCGAGUUCUCUCUAGCCAACCCUGGCUCGAGGCUCAGCAGGUCCCUUCAAAAGAGUCAGCCAGCUGUGUGCCUGCAUGUUCAGGAUACUUGUCAGGGGCCUUCCUCAGAGCAAGACCGACGCUCACCUCAUCCUUGGGACUUUGGAGCCCGCCCUGGAGAGACUCUUGCCAGUCCAAAGGGGCCGUCCGGGUCCCGCAGGCUGGUGGGAGUGACUUCUGAGCCACUCGAGACCCCACUUUGUGUUCCUACACCCCACAAAGCCACUUAAAGUGCCAUGUUCUGGUGCCAUGUGCCUCUCCAGUGUGCCACACAAGCCCGGACGGGGAUCUGAGCGGGCGCUGCCUUCCUCAGGCUAUGCUUGAGUUUUGGGGCAACUGGAGCACUCGUGGCUGUGAUUAUCGCCGCUGUCUGGGCUCCCCUAGAAGGUCUCACCCGCAGCCUGAGGGCCACGUCGGCAGCCACCGAGGAGCCGCCAGGUGCGGCGUUGGUCCCACUCAGUUCUUUUCGACUUUGGUGACAAGAGGAGACAGCAAAACUUCAGCUGGUAGCCCCAGGCCUUCUCUGCUUGGGGCCCUGGGACUGAGAUAGCACAGAUCCUGCCAUCCACGUGCUGGGGGCCCCGCCGUGCGGCUCCCUCCUCUGAUCAGGGGCCACGCCCUUGGGCUGGGCAGCUCCGGGUUCUCGCACUCAGGGGCCCAGGGAGGGUCCUGGAUGCAGAGAGAAGGAGAAGGGUGGCGGUUUGAGCCCAACUGUGUUGGCUUCAUCUUCUGCCUCCUGUCCCUAAAUACAUUUGCAAAGUUUUCCAGAUGAAAACUCAGAAGGGAUUUUUAAUGACUGGAAUCUGUGAAUUCCAUGGAAGCCAAGUGUGUCCACCUCUUUCACCCACCUCAUUUCUCCCCGUUGGGGCUGAUUUUGGCAGCGUUCAUAGGGGCAUGGACGCAAGGGGUGGUGGCCAGCCCUCGGCCCUGUGUCCCUCUCCUCCUCCCCUCAGCGCCACAGCAUUUCGGUGUCAUGCCCUUCCCUGCGCGCGUCCUCAUGAAAACCAAGUGCGGCUGGAGGGAGAUGCCUGCGCCCACUCCCGUGACCUUCCCGACCAGCCUGGCUGCAGCAGCCUCUCAGCAGGCAUCUUUCUGGUGCUGCCUCCGUGCCCCUCCCAUCACCUGACGCUCGUGCUCCUGAAUCUUCACGCGUGUACUCUGUGCAUCCACCUCACGGGCUCCCUGGGAACAGAGACAGUGUCUCACGCCGGUCAGAAUGCUCUUCUCUGUCCACUGAAUAGUCCAACACAGAAUCAUUCCUCUGUGAUUAUUUAUGCUUUGUUAUGUAGAACUGGAAUAAAGAAAAAGUGAAUUU